ACUCCUGCGGGAGGCAGCAGUGGGGAAUAUUGCACAAUGGGCGCAAGCCUGAUGCAGCCAUGCCGCGUGUAUGAAGAAGGCCUUCGGGUUGUAAAGUACUUUCAGCGGGGAGGAAGGCAAUACGGUUAAUAACCGUGUUGAUUGACGUUACCCGCAGAAGAAGCACCGGCUAACUCCGUGCCAGCAGCCGCGGUAAUACAGAGGGUGCAAGCGUUAAUCGGAAUUACUGGGCGUAAAGCGCACGCAGGCGGUCUGUCAAGUCGGAUGUGAAAUCCCCGGGCUCAACCUGGGAACUGCAUUCGAAACUGGCAGGCUUGAGUCUUGUAGAGGGAGGUAGAAUUCCAGGUGUAGCGGUGAAAUGCGUAGAGAUCUGGAGGAAUACCGGUGGCGAAGGCGGCCCCCUGGACAAAGACUGACGCUCAGGUGCGAAAGCGUGGGGAGCAAACAGGAUUAGAAACCCGAGUAGUCCC
rnacentral:rRNA from 1 species